rnacentral:rRNA from 1 species
AGAGUUUGAUCAUGGCUCAGGAUAAACGCUGGCGGCGUGCCUAAUGCAUGCAAGUCGAACGGGAGCCCCUUCGGGGGCCGACCGUGGCGGACGGGUGAGGAACACGUAGCUAACCUGCCCUGGCGUGGGGGAUAACCGCGGGAAACCGCGGCUAAGACCGCAUACGCUCGGCCUGGGGGACCAGACCGAGGAAAGACCUUCGGGUCGCGCGUGGAGGGGGCUGCGGCCGAUUAGCUAGCUGGUGGGGUAACGGCCUACCAGGGCAGUGAUCGGUAGCUGGUCUGAGAGGACGAUCAGCCACACGGGGACUGAGACACGGCCCCGACUCCUACGGGAGGCAGCAGCAAGGAAUUUUCCACAAUGGGCGCAAGCCUGAUGGAGCAACGCCGCGUGGGGGAUGACGCCCUUCGGGGUGUAAACCCCUUUUCCGGGGGACGAAGAUCGUGACGGUACCCCGGGAAGAAGGCCCGGCUAACUACGUGCCAGCAGCCGCGGUAAGACGUAGGGGCCGAGCGUUGUCCGGAGUUACUGGGCGUAAAGCGCGCGCAGGCGGUCGUCCGCAUCGGCGGUGAAAGCCCCCCGCUCAACGGGGGAGGGUCCGUCGAGAUGGGGCGACUGGAGGCAGGGAGAGGCGAGUGGAAUUCCGGGGUGUAGUGGUGAAAUGCGUAGAGAUCCGGAGGAACACCAGUGGCGAAGGCGGCUCGCUGGACCUGACCUGACGCUGAGGCGCGAAGGCGUGGGGAGCGAACGGGAUUAGAUACCCCCGUAGUCC